GCUUACGGCCAUACCACCCUGAGAACGCCCGCUCUCGUCUGAUCUCGGAAGCUAAGCAGGGGCGGGCCUGGUUAGUACUUGGAUGGGAGACCGCCUGGGAAUACCAGGUGCUGUAAGCU
ensembl:rRNA 5S_rRNA 5S ribosomal RNA